rnacentral:lncRNA from 1 species
GUUCCUGUUGAGUGCGGUGCCUGUCAAGAGCUGUUGGUGGGAGACACAUGGGCUUUCAGAGAUGCCCCGCCCUCCCUCAUGAAGCUCGCAUCCAGCCCAGGGAAUAGGAAGAUAAGCAGUGCUGGCCUGUGCCCACCUGCAGAGCAGAAGUGGCCCUGCUUCAGCCACCUAUUUCUGAGUCACAAAAUACUCUGAAACUUGGUGACUCAAAACGACAAAAAUGUAUCAUUUCUCUCCAUUCUGUGGGUUGACCGGCACAUGUACACAUCACAUACA